UACAGGGGGGUGCAAGCGUUGCUCGGAAUCACUGGGCGUAAAGCGAGCGCAGGCGGCCGAUUAAGUCAGAGGUGAAAGCCCCGGGACUCAACCCCGGAAUGGCCUUUGAAACUGGUAGGCUUGAACGUCGAGAGGAGGAUGCGCGGAAUUCUUGGUGUAGAGGUGAAAUUCGUAGAUAUCAGGAAGAACACCAGUGGCGAAAGCGGCGACCUGGCCUGACAUUGACGCUCAUGCUCGAGAGCGUGGGGAGCAAACAGG
rnacentral:rRNA from 1 species